GUUCCCAUAGUUUAGUCGGUUAGAACACCACCCUUUCAAGGUGGUGGCACGGGUUCGAAUCCCGUUGGGAACACCA
rnacentral:tRNA from 1 species